GGCUGAUUUCUGUGCAAGCAGGAGUUGUUACUUUGGCAAAUGAAUAUUCAGCCAUGUGCUUAGAAAUCUCAUUUUCUCCCCUGGUACAAAGUGGGAACAACUGCAUGCAUUCUUGUUACGGUAUUUCUUCUUUAAUUUUCCUCCAUUUUGCACUCUUGCAAUCUCUGCAAUUAUAUUUGGCACAGUAAUUAUUAUUGUUCCAGUUGUAAUUCCUGCAACAGGGGAUCCUAAUGCAGUGUUGCUUGGUGCCUUGUGAACUCCAGCACUGGCUAUUUUCAUCUUUAAGCCACAGUUAAUCCAUGACCUUAGUGCUUUUGUCUCCGGGUCUGAAUUAUCAUGGCAAUGCCGAAUAAGUAUUCCUAUGGGGAAAGCAAAAAUGCUUUUCUGGGUGUUUAGGAUUCCUGCCAAGUGGACACAAAGUCAAUUGAAGCAGAAAGGUACCCCACACUCUGCAGUGGCCACUGCAAUGGUAAUUGAAUAACAUCUGCUGACAGCAAGCUAAAAAAACAAAUUGGUCAUGAAGCUGAAAUAGAAGAGUAGUACCUUUUUAAAGUACCUUUCUGUAGUGUAUCCUCAAACUCUCCCACCAUGAGACUAUCCAAGAAGCUGAACACCUGUUGAAUGUCAGGUUUCCUUUUGGAUGCAGGAGUGCAGCAUCACAUAGCACGGUCAUUCCUCUAGCAGACUGAGCAAUUUGCUAUUGCUCAUGUUCCAGACAAGCUGUCUGAUUCUUGUUUGAAAUGCUAUCUCUAAGCUGCUUUUGUUCAAUCAGUCACUUUCAUGAAAGGUUGUAAUCAAAAGGCCAGAUUUUAGAAGCACCCUUAAAUGAUACUGAUUUCCCAGUGGCAUGUAAAUAAGGGGUCACGUUUUCCAAAGAGAGUACUGCCCCACCACCAGUGCUGUGAGAAAUCUGCUUUGCAGCUCCAUGGCUGUAUUUAGGGGGAAACAUUGCUGACAGGCUGAGUCAGUGGCCCAAAUUCUCCUUCCUUUAUCCAUGUAACCACAUGAAAGCUUGUGCCUCCUAUCCACAGAGUGUGCAUGAAUAAUUUGCUUGGCAUGGGACUGGAGCUAGCUAGCACAAUAAUUAUGCUUUUGUAGGCUCCAUAUGUCCCUUGCUUUGGAGCUUUUCAAACGAUACAAAACUCUGGUACUGUGACUAAAAUGAGAAAAGUCUGGGCAAUGACUACAGAAGCAACUGGGAGUGACCCAACACUCAUGAAAGGACUUCUGGCUUCAAUGGGUGUUGACCCAAGUCCAUAAGAGACUCAGAGUUACAUCCAGACGUUAUGGAGAUCCUGGAAUGACCCCUGCGGUCUGCAUGAAGAUUGUUUUCUUGUUGUUUUGCUUUUUUCCCCUGUUUGUUUUGUUUGGUUCCAAUCACUGCAAGGAUGUUCUAAUUUCCACACCCUUCAGAAGCUCCAGAUUCUUUGACUGUACUUCUCAAAACAUGCUCAAGAAAUGUGUGCGUGCACUGCCUAUCCUUCUCCUCUUCUGUGCACUGAAUAUUUUUGGUGGAGGAGAGCUCAGUAACGGAAGCAUAAACCUUCUGUUUACAUCUAUAAACAAGAUAAGG
rnacentral:lncRNA from 7 species